rnacentral:rRNA from 1 species
AACGAACGCUGGCGGCAUGCCUAACACAUGCAAGUCGAACGAGACCUUCGGGUCUAGUGGCGCACGGGUGCGUAACGCGUGGGGACCUGCCCUUAGGUUCGGAAUAACUCCCCGAAAGGGGUGCUAAUACCGGAUAAUGUCUUCGGACCAAAGAUUUAUCGCCUUUGGAUGGGCCCGCGUUGGAUUAGCUAGUUGGUAGGGUAAAAGCCUACCAAGACGACGAUCCAUAGCUGGUCUGAGAGGAUGGUCAGCCACACUGGGACUGAGACACGGCCCAGACUCCUACGGGAGGCAGCAGUGGGGAAUAUUGGACAAUGGGCGAAAGCCUGAUCCAGCAAUGCCGCGUGAGUGAUGAAGGCCUUAGGGUUGUAAAGCUCUUUUACCCGGGAUGAUAAUGACAGUACCGGGAGAAUAAGCGCCGGCUAACUCCGUG